rnacentral:lncRNA from 1 species
UUGGCUGCGCCCGCAGCAAUGUUUCAUCACUUCAGCCGGCCGGCUGUCGGUCACCGCCUCGGAGGCGUCAUUGUCAUGGCUCUGCCAGGCAGCACGGAACGCCUGUGGCCGCACAAAGCUCGCCCGGCUCCGCCAACCGCUCGCCGCGCGAGGAGAAACAGAUGGAGCCGCCGCAUCGGCGGGGCGCCGGCAGCGACCAGGGCCCGCAGCCCCAGCCCCGGGGCCAGCCUCGGCUCGCCUGCUCGGCUCCGCCUGACGGUCGGGGCUCUGCGGACAGCGGCGGGCUGGGGCCCGGGCUGAGAAGAGUGGCGGCAAGAGCUGCGCAGGACGCGAGAGCAAACAUUCAGAGGAAGAGGGUAAGCUUCGUAAGCAAGGAAAAUACCGCUUGUAAAUACAUGAAAACUUCUAGUGAAAUCACACAAAAAAGUAUUUGUACAGUGUCAAAAAAAGAAGAAAAACUUUUGGAAAAGAGGAAACUAUCAAAACUUGAGAGACAUAUUAAUGCUGUGAUAACACUUCAUGAGGAAGUGUUUUCAAAAAUAGCUGUUAAUCGGGAGAAUGAGUUCUGUGAACUGUCAACACCCUCUUCCAUGCUGACUGUAUGUUUCGUGACAAAUCUCACUUUUACAGGAAUAUGCUUGUUUAAAAGAAGCCUUUGGAGUCUAAGUCUUUUGGUCUUUCACAUCUAAAAUUGUAACAAGAGUUGCAUGUGACAAACAUAGGCUUGUUGUUUUGUUAAAGGCUUUCGUGCAUUUUACAAAAUUCUCUUUAUAUCUUCUUAGUUUCUGCCCAAAAUCUUUAAACGGAAAGCAUAAAAUAGGAUAAGGUAUACUAAGAUGCUUAUUUUAAAAUUCUUAAAUAUAUUAGGAUGUCUGGGUUUAUUUAUUUAUUUAACCAAAUUAAGCUUCAGGUUAUUUUUUAACUUACUUCGGCAUCACUGUGCACUUUGGGUAAUUUUUGUUUUGUUGCUAUGUUUAAAUACAUAUUGAUUACUUUUGCACUACAAAUAUGACCAUGUUUAUACCGUAGGUUUUAUGACAAUGCAGUAUUGUUUUCUCCUUCAUCAGAUAAUGCUUCCAAGUUCAGACAAUCAAAACAUGAUACUAAACCAUCUUGGACACUCUGCUUUUUUUCCUAAUAUCAUAAACACACAAGGAAGUUCCUCAAAUACAUUUUUGCUGUCAUCUCAUACUGGUUUCACUUCAGCAAAUGUUUCAGAAUAUAAAAGCUACAUAUUUAGAUUUGAAUAGUGAGAUGUAGUUAAUAUCACAGAAUCACAGAAUUUCUAGGUUGGAAGAGACCUCAAGAUCAUCGAGUCCAACCUCUAA